UGCUGGGAUUUGAACUCCGGACCUUUGGAAGAACAGUCGGGUGCUCUUACCCACUGAGCCAUCUCACCAGGCCCACGUCCCAUUUUCAUCUUUAAAGAUAUUUUGCUUUAAAUGACUUAAUGUACCGUCUAUAUAAUUUGAUUGACAGCAUGAUAGUAACCACCCAGAAUUUCUGUUUUUAUCACUGUUUUCUAUUUUAGGACUUCCUCCCACAUGCGCUUCCUCGUGCGCUAGAUUCAGUUUCUGAUCCAAGCUUUCUUCCUUUUAGGGUUCUAUCUUAAGUAUGGCAUUUGCUGUGACCUCAAAUAGAAUUACACGUACAUACAUACAAACAUACAUACACACAUGCACACACAUGACAUUUUGGCAGAUUGACUCCCAGGCCUUGAGAGUCAAUGAGUGCUUUUUAAGUAAAGCACUUUAUAAUUAUGCCAUAUCCCCAGACCCAAGCAAGAUUGUUAAAAGCUAUGUAAUAUCCCAUGAGGUAUGUUCUAGAAUUGUCCUAUAGCUAGAUUUUAAUAGAAUAUUUUUCUUUUUAAAAGAUAUUUGUUUAUUUAUUUAAUAUCUAUGAGUGCUCUGUCUUCAGACACCCCAGAAGAGGGACUCAGAUCUCUUUACAGAUGGUCGUGAGCCAUCAUGUGGGUGCUGGGAGUUGAACUCAGGACUUCUUGAAGAGCAUUCAGUGUUCUUCACCGCUGAGCCAUCUCUCCAGCCCCUUAAUAGAAUAUUUACAGUCACAUUUAUUUUGUAGAUGUAAACAUUCUAGUAACUAGGGGUUGUCUCUGUUAUGGCCCAGAGUCUGUAUAGUUGGAGAAGUCUAAGGUCUUCCGGACCACAGAAAUAAUGUUCUCCCCCUCCUCCCUCUCUGACUCUCUCUCCCUCCCCACCUCACCCUCCCUCUCUCAGAUAAGGUCUUGCUGUGUAGCCGAGGCUGGCCUUGAGCUUGUGAUGUUCCGGUUUCAGCCUCCCCAGUGCUGAGAUCACUGGCAUUGCUCUCAGAGGUUGGAAAGCUUCUUUUCAGGGUUCUGCUUUUCAGAGGAGCUAAGCGGCUGGAAUGUUCUAUUAAGUUGUGGAGUUAUGUAGAGGUGGCUCUGGUGUUAACUGAACUGCUACGGUGAUAACUGUAAGCAAGCAAGCAAGCAAGCAAGCAAACAAAAAACCUUAAAAGAAAAAGCAAUGCUUCCUGUCUUGUAUUAAUACAAACACAAUUCCAAAAUAAAACAAGUGAAACCUUCAUCUUCACUUGUCUGUAGGAAGAUGCCUUAGGGAUGGUGGGUGGAAUCAGGAUCAUAGGACAACAGAGAGGGCGUAUUAAUAGGUCUGUAAUGACAUAAAAUUUAUUCUGGGGGUGAGGUAAAACUUAAUGGUUCAUAAAUAGCAAAUUCAUUAUAUUUUUAAUACUCAAGUUAUAUUAACGCCAUAUAACAUCUUUAUGGUAUCAUUAGUACCAUUUAAGUCCUGACUCAACACAGAGAACAAACAUCUCCAAAUCUUGGCCAUGAACUGAUUAGCCAGAUAAAAUGUUUUAAUAAAUAUUAUUGGAUUAGAGCAUGGUUGGUUGGGUCAUAAACUGUCUUAUAAAUGUUUUAUGUCAUCUGUUGCACUGAAUUUUAAAAUGUUAACAAAUUAAUUUAUUUUAAAGGCCGCAUCAAGGUGAAAGCAGCUUGUUCUACUGGGACCGUAGAUCAACAGCCAUUUCUCAGCCUGUGUGCGAGCAACAGAAGCAAUGCUAACAUACAAAUGUGGGGGUCGCAUCUCAGUGACUUGUUCCUCUUGACAACUCAGUCUUGACCGCCUAAAAGUACUUCAACACCAAGACCACCAAGAGGAGAAAGCGAACAACUUAUUUUUUAAGUUAUCUCUGAGUAUUAUGAGAAGCAUCGUUUGGGGGUUGGAAGCCUGAGAGUCAGACUAACAGCAAAUUCCAGGAGAGGCUCCCAUGCUCUGACAGUCAAGUGUUUGAUUAAGCGCCAUAGCUGAGAUGUUCACUUUGCAUUUGGUAAGCUGAAAGCGCAGCCCUCGUGAACCAGCUGGAUGUGGCGGAGAGGUGAUUUGUAUUAUAGUAGCCUGGUAGCUGCCCAAUGAACCAUGUAAAAACAGUUCAUUAAAAUGUUUAUGUGCUUGGCUGGUUAAUGCAAAGAAAGCUUUAUUGCGGCUUUAUACAACCUUGGUAACUUCGGGCUGCCGUUCGAUCAAUGCGUUGUAAUGCCGCAAUGCCACAGAGAAGCACUCUCCUGAGCUCAAAAAGGAACCAAAACACUGGCUUUUCCCCAUUCUUCCUAAGAGAAUAUAUUUUCAGGACCUUAAGGCUAACCCAGACUUUCUUCUUUUCUGCUCGUUUACAGCCAGUUAAAAUGUUUCAAAUACAUUUGUAGCGGAUAGGGGCGCUUUUUGCACAAACGUGCUGGGUUGGUUGUACUAGAACUUAAUCAGUGAAUAGGUAAUUACUGCAUUGUGUUUGGAAGGCAAUGCUUAUGCAGUUUCAACCCACACACAGAUUUUUAUUUACACACACACACUCACACUGAACACACAUUCAUGCAUACAGGCAGACAAACAGAUAGGCACACACACACCUCACUGAACUAGAAAGCAGACAUGCUAAUUCCCUUGGUAGCUAUUGUUUCCCCACUGCUGUAGUACUUCUUAGAUCCGUACACUUGUUUUAUGGCUAUUUUGACAUUAAAAACAUAUUUUGAAAUAGUUAAGUAUUUAUGAAAGAAUGGUUUUAAAACACCUUUAAAAUAAGUAAAAUGGGGCUGGUGAGAUGGCUCAGCGGGUAAGAGCACCCGACUGCUCUUCUGAAGGUCCUGAGUUCAAGUCCCAGCAACCACAUGGUGGCUCACAACCAUCCUUAAGGAGAUCUGACUGGUAUGUCUGAAGACAGCUGCAGUGUACUUACAUAUAAUAAAUAAAUAAAUAUUUAAAAAAAAUAAGUAAAAUGUUCAUUUUUAAUAGGAAAAUUAAUCCAUGAAAGCUCUUACCUUCACAAUUACAACUUCAUGUGAAAUAUUUUACUUUUUUGUUACUACUCUGUGUGUGAGUGAGUGAGC
rnacentral:lncRNA from 1 species